UCCGUAGGGUGCGAGCGUUGUCCGGAAUUAUUGGGCGUAAAGAGCUUGUAGGCGGUUUGUCGCGUCUGCCGUGAAAAUCCGGGGCUCAACCCCGGACUUGCGGUGGGUACGGGCAGACUAGAGUGUGGUAGGGGAGACUGGAAUUCCUGGUGUAGCGGUGAAAUGCGCAGAUAUCAGGAGGAACACCGAUGGCGAAGGCAGGUCUCUGGGCCACUACUGACGCUGAGAAGCGAAAGCGUGGGGAGCGAACAGG
rnacentral:rRNA from 1 species